rfam:Rattus norvegicus chromosome 14, whole genome shotgun sequence.
AGGGAUUUAGCUCAGUGGUAGAGCGCUUGCCUAGCAAGCACAAGGCCCUGGGUUCGGUCCCCAGCUCUG